rnacentral:rRNA from 1 species
AUUGAACGCUGGCGGCAGGCCUAACACAUGCAAGUCGAGCGAGAAAGGCCUUCGGGCUGAGUACAGCGGCGGACGGGUGAGUAACGCGUAGGAAUCUACCUGGUAGUGGGGGACAACUUGUGGAAACGCAAGCUAAUACCGCAUACGCCCUAAGGGGGAAAGCGGGGGAUCUUCGGACCUCGUGCUAUCGGAUGAGCCUGCGUAGGAUUAGCUAGUUGGUGAGGUAAAGGCUCACCAAGGCGACGAUCCUUAGCUGGUCUGAGAGGAUGAUCAGCCACACUGGGACUGAGACACGGCCCAGACUCCUACGGGAGGCAGCAGUGGGGAAUAUUGCGCAAUGGGGGCAACCCUGACGCAGCCAUGCCGCGUGUGUGAAGAAGGCCCUAGGGUUGUAAAGCACUUUCAAUUGGGAAGAAAGGUCAGUAGUUAAUAACUGCUGGCUGUGACAUUACCUUUAGAAGAAGCACCGGCUAACUCCG